rnacentral:sRNA from 1 species
AUAUAGUGUGACCAAUCAAAU